rnacentral:lncRNA from 1 species
AUGUCAUCUACAACUGCUGAAAAAGUCAUUGACUCUAUUGACUGUAUAUUUAGCAGACAUGGGCUACCAGUUACCAUCAAAUCUGAUAACGGCCCACAGUUCAAAUCUGAGCUGUUCAGAGAAUAUUGUGAAACUAAUGGAAUCAAACAUAUAAGAACUACACCAAAAUGGGCUCAAGCAAAUGGAGAAGUGGAACGUCAAAAUGCAUCGUUGAUGAAAAGAAUCAGGAUCGCACAAGCCGAAGGACUUGACUGGAAGCGAGAGCUAAGAAAAUAUGUGACAGUUUAUCGCACCAUUGACCAUCCAACCACGGGCAAAAGUCCAGCAGAACUCCUGUUCAACCGCAAAAUGAGAGGAAAGUUACCGAACAUCAGUGAGGCAAAAACAACGGAGUUGGACGUGCGUGACAGAGACGCUGAACAGAAAGGAAAAUCAAAGAUUUCUGCUGAUGAACGAAGGGGAGCUGAGUAUUCAAAAGUUGACACGGGAGACACAGUGCUGGUUCAACAAGACAAAGUGGACAAGUUUACCACACCAUUCAAUGCAACACCACACAAAGUUGUAAGCAGAACUGGAAACCAAGUCAUUAUUGAAUCACCAACAGGAGCUCGCUAUCACCGGAAUACGACACAUGUGAAGAAAUACGAGACAAAUGAGACCAGAGAAGGACACUACGAACAAGACACAAUACCUGAAAGGGAGGAAGGUGAAACACCCACAAAGACUGACACCUUCACUCCAACACCGCAAGAGGGCUCCCUUUUGUAUCGUUUAAAGGGCUUUGGAGUUGACGUCAUGCCGCAAUGCAUUGUGGGAGCGCGGCGCCAUGUUCGGGGUCUACUAUCAAAACAGACACUGGCUGUGUCCCAAUUCAGGGUCUGCACGCUUGAAGUACGCAUUUCAAGUGCGAGUACGUCACCGCCACGCGACGACGGCUGUCCCAAUUCAAAGUGCACUUCAAAUGCAUACUGCAAAUGCGCCGUCGAUUUCCCCAAAUAUCAAGCGUGGUCCGGUGCACGCUUCGUGGCCUCAUAUAUCCCACAAUCCAUAGCGCGGCGGUGGGUGUGGAUAAUUUUGCCGCAAAAUACGGCAGAAGGGAGCGGCCGAAGAGUGAACUGUCAAAAGUAA